AACGCACAUUGCGCCCCUUGGUAUUCCGAGGGGCAUGCCUGUUCGAGCGUCAUUAUAACCACUCAAGCCUCGGCUUGGUCUUGGGGCCUUCGCGGUCUCGCGUCCCUAAAAUCAGUGGCGGCGCCGCCUGGCCCUCAGCGUAGUACAGCUCUCGCUCCAGGGUCCGGCGGCAGCCUGCCAGAACCCCCCAACUCUUGUGGUUGACCUCGGAUCAGGUAGGGAUACCCGCUGAACUUAA
rnacentral:misc_RNA from 1 species